rnacentral:rRNA from 1 species
UACGGGGGGGGCAAGCGUUGUUCGGAAUUACUGGGCGUAAAGGGCGCGUAGGCGGGUGGGUAAGUCUCUCGUGAAAGCCCACGGCUCAACCGUGGAAUUGCGGGAGAUACUGUCUGUCUUGAGUCCGGGAGAGGAGGGUGGAAUUCCCAGUGUAGCGGUGAAAUGCGUAGAUAUUGGGAGGAACACCGGUGGCGAAGGCGGCUCUCUGGACCGGUACUGACGAUGAGGCGCGAAAGCUAGGGGAGCAAACGGG